rnacentral:rRNA from 1 species
UACGAAGGGGGCUAGCGUUGCUCGGAAUUACUGGGCGUAAAGGGAGCGUAGGCGGACAUUUAAGUCAGGGGUGAAAUCCCAGAGCUCAACUCUGGAACUGCCUUUGAUACUGGGUGUCUUGAGUGUGAGAGAGGUAUGUGGAACUCCGAGUGUAGAGGUGAAAUUCGUAGAUAUUCGGAAGAACACCAGUGGCGAAGGCGACAUACUGGCUCAUUACUGACG